rnacentral:misc_RNA from 1 species
UGAAGUGGCAAGCUGCUGCAGGAACCU